UAAGACCUUAAGUUAAAAAAACUCCGAGCCUUCAAAGCUUGAAAUAAGAUAAUAUUCUUAGAUCUUAGC
rnacentral:tRNA from 1 species